rnacentral:rRNA from 1 species
GUAGGUGGCAAGCGUUGUCCGGAAUUAUUGGGCGUAAAGCGCGCGCAGGCGGUCCUUUAAGUCUGAUGUGAAAGCCCACGGCUCAACCGUGGAGGGUCAUUGGAAACUGGGGGACUUGAGUACAGAAGAGGAAAGCGGAAUUCCAAGUGUAGCGGUGAAAUGCGUAGAGAUUUGGAGGAACACCAGUGGCGAAGGCGGCUUUCUGGUCUGUAACUGACGCUGAGGCGCGAAAGCGUGGGGAGCAAACAGGGAUUAGAUACCCUGGUAGUCCACGCCGUAAACGAUGAGUGCUAAGUGUUAGGGGGGUUUCCGCCCCCUUAGCGCUGCAGCUAACGCAUUAAGCACUCCGCCUGGAGAGUACGGCCGCAAGGCUG